CGUUUCCGGAGCACGAGAACCAACUCUCGAGCAUUCGUUGUCAUUUGUCUGAAGGUGGAUUCCAAGAGUUUAGAUUGUUGGAGAGGUUAGGGGAUGGAAGCAAGCCAACAGCAAUCAUUGGGGAGGUGGCCGAUGAUCUGAACUUAGAUUUGGUAGUUCUAAGCAUGGAAGCCGUUCAUUCUAAGCAUGUAGAUGCUAACCUACUGGCUGAGUUCAUUCCAUGCCCUGUUAUGCUCUUGCCAUUAUGAUUUUUGUACAAUUUGUCACCAAUAUUAGAGUUUUAUCAUAUGUAUGUUUUUUGUAACAGUGUCCUGG
rnacentral:misc_RNA from 1 species